CGUAAACAAAGGGAAGCGAAGUGGUGACAUGGAGCGAACCCCAAAAAUAACGUCCCAGUUCGGAUUGUAGUCUGCAACUCGACUACAUGAAGCUGGAAUCGCUAGUAAUCGCGGAUCAGAAUGCCGCGGUGAAUACGUUCCCGGGUCUUGUACACACCGCCCGUCACACCAUGGGAGUCGGAAAUGCCCGAAGUCAGUGACCUAACCGAAAGGGAGGAGCUGCCGAAGGUGGAGCCGGUAACUGGGGUGAAGUCGUAACAAGGUAAC
rnacentral:rRNA from 1 species